rnacentral:rRNA from 1 species
AUACAUGCAAGUCGGACGCUUUUUCUUUCACCGGAGCUUGCUCCACCGAAAGAAAAGGAGUGGCGAACGGGUGAGUAACACGUGGGUAACCUGCCCAUCAGAAGGGGAUAACACUUGGAAACAGGUGCUAAUACCGUAUAACAAUCGAAACCGCAUGGUUUCGGUUUGAAAGGCGCUUUUGCGUCACUGAUGGAUGGACCCGCGGUGCAUUAGCUAGUUGGUGAGGUAACGGCUCACCAAGGCAACGAUGCGUAGCCGACCUGAGAGGGUGAUCGGCCACAUUGGGACUGAGACACGGCCCAAACUCCUACGGGAGGCAGCAGUAGGGAAUCUUCGGCAAUGGACGCAAGUCUGACCGAGCAACGCCGCGUGAGUGAAGAAGGUUUUCGGAUCGUAAAACUCUGUUGUUAGAGAAGAACAAGGAUGAGAGUAAAAUGUUCAUCCCUUGACGGUAUCUAACCAGAAAGCCACGGCUAACUACGUGCCAGCAGCCGCGGUAAUACGUAGGUGGCAAGCGUUGUCCGGAUUUAUUGGGCGUAAAGCGAGCGCAGGCGGUUUCUUAAGUCUGAUGUGAAAGCCCCCGGCUCAACCGGGGAGGGUCAUUGGAAACUGGGGAACUUGAGUGCAGAAGAGGAGAGUGGAAUUCCAUGUGUAGCGGUGAAAUGCGUAGAUAUAUGGAGGAA